rnacentral:rRNA from 1 species
GAUGAACGCUAGCGGCAGGCCUAACACAUGCAAGUCGAGGGAGAGGUUACCUUCGGGUAACCAAAACCGGCGCACGGGUGCGUAACGCGUAUACAAUCUGCCUUUCACAUAGGGAUAGCCCGAAGAAAUUUGGAUUAAUACCUAAUGGUAUAUAAGAGCGGCAUCGUUUUUAUAUUAAAGCUACGGUGGUGAAAGAUGAGUAUGCGUUCUAUUAGCUAGUUGGAGAGGUAACGGCUCCCCAAGGCGACGAUAGAUAGGGGUUCUGAGAGGGAUGUCCCCCACACUGGUACUGAGAUACGGACCAGACUCCUACGGGAGGCAGCAGUGAGGAAUAUUGGACAAUGGUCGGAAGACUGAUCCAGCCAUGCCGCGUGCAGGAUGAAGGUCCUAUGGAUUGUAAACUGCUUCUGUAAGGGAAGAAUAAGGAGUACGUGUACUUUGAUGACGGUACCUUACGAAUAAGCAUCGGCUAACUCCGUG